rnacentral:rRNA from 1 species
UACGUAGGGGGGCUAGCGUUGUUCGGAAUUACUGGGCGUAAAGCGCGUGUAGGCGGGUCUUUAAGUCAGGGGUGAAAUGCCAAGGCUCAACCUUGGAACUGCCUUUGAUACUGGAGACCUUGAGUCCGGGAGAGGUGAGUGGAAUUGCGAGUGUAGAGGUGAAAUUCGUAGAUAUUCGCAAGAACACCAGUGGCGAAGGCGGCUCACUGGCCCGGAACUGACGCUGGAGACGCGAAAGCGUGGGGAGCAAACAGG